UUUGUGUGUGUGUUUCUCAGCCGAGGCUCUGGACGUGGGCGAGUAUCUGGAGAUCUCUGGGAUCAUUCGAUCUCAGGCCGGACGUUACGAGUGUAAAGCGAGCAAUGACGUCUCCGCUCCUGAUGUCAAAUAUGUCAGCGUAGUGGUUAACUCCCCGCCGUACAUUAAGGAGGUGCGGAGCUCCGAGACGCCGGUGGGACAGACUGGAGUCCUGCACUGCGAGGCGUCUGCGGUUCCUCAGCCUGAGUUUGAGUGGUACAGAGACGAGCGCAGACUGUCCAGCUCUCAGAGCAUCAGUAUUCAGAUCAGCGGCUCUCGCACGCUGCUGGUGGUCGCUAACGUCACAGAGAACGAUUAUGGAAACUACACGUGUGUCGCCACCAACAGACUGGGAAUCCACAACGCCAGCGUG